rnacentral:rRNA from 1 species
GUACACAAAAAUGCACAUGCUGUGAGCUCGAUGAGUAGGGCGGGACACGUGGUAUCCUGUCUGAAUAUGGGGGGACCAUCCUCCAAGGCUAAAUACUCCUGACUGACCGAUAGUGAACCAGUACCGUGAGGGAAAGGCGAAAAGAACCCCGGCGAGGGGAGUGAAAAAGAACCUGAAACCGUGUACGUACAAGCAGUGGGAGCACAGAGCAAUCUGUGUGACUGCGUACCUUUUGUAUAAUGGGUCAGCGACUUAUAUUCUGUAGCAAGGUUAACCGAAUAGGGGAGCCGAAGGGAAACCGAGUCUUAACUGGGCGUUAAGUUGCAGGGUAUAGACCCGAAACCCGGUGAUCUAGCCAUGGGCAGGUUGAAGGUUGGGUAACACUAACUGGAGGACCGAACCGACUAAUGUUGAAAAAUUAGCGGAUGACUUGUGGCUGGGGGUGAAAGGCCAAUCAAACCGGGAGAUAGCUGGUUCUCCCCGAAAGCUAUUUAGGUAGCGCCUCGUGAAUUCAUCUCCGGGGGUAGAGCACUGUUUCGGCAAGGGGGUCAUCCCGACUUACCAACCCGAUGCAAACUGCGAAUACCGGAGAAUGUUAUCACGGGAGACACACGGCGGGUGCUAACGUCCGUCGUGAAGAGGGAAACAACCCAGACCGCCAGCUAAGGUCCCAAAGUCAUGGUUAAGUGGGAAACGAUGUGGGAAGGCCCAGACAGCCAGGAUGUUGGCUUAGAAGCAGCCAUCAUUUAAAGAAAGCGUAAUAGCUCACUGGUCGAGUCGGCCUGCGCGGAAGAUGUAACGGGGCUAAACCAUGCACCGAAGCUGCGGCAGCGACGCUGAUGCGUUGUUGGGUAGGGGAGCGUUCUGUAAGCCUGUGAAGGUGUGCUGUGAGG